UCUCUUUCCGUGCUUGAGUCUUGCUAGGAUAUGCUGUGCUUCCCUAGGUGCAAUAAAGAUACUUUCCGCCAGAAUUUAUUCAACUAAAAAUAGGACUCUUGUUUUCGAGGGGGUGUGGGAAAUUAGCUGGAAGUAGAUAGUGCAGAGCCCACUUGGCAGCCAGAUGUUGUCAAAGGCUGCUUUGGCCCAGAGAUGUCAUAUUCAGGAAGCCUGUGUGGACCUAUCAGAUGAGAGCACAACCAUAGACACAGCGAACCCAGCGGAGAUAUCCCAGCUUCAGUUCUCAGAACCCAUUGUCCUCCAUCCUGAGGAGGCCUGUGGGGCACCAGAACACUGUGCAGCUGGGAGAUCUUCCUGCCUGCUCUGCAGCUGCCUGGCCUACCUGGGACACAGACAGCCAAUGCAGCAGAGGGACCACCAGGCCUACACACCAGAGACAACCAUAUGCCUACAGGCCAGCGUAAGAACACAAGCAACAAAACGUAAGGCUAUAUGACACCACUGUGGUCCGACCACAGCAAGCCCUGAAGAUACUAUCACACCCAAAGUGCAAUAAAAAGAUUUUAAAUCUGAGAUUAUGAAGAUGAUAAAGGCCUUAAAGGAGGAAAAUAAAGUUCUCAAAGAAAAACAGGAAAAUACCAUCAAACAGGUAAAAGAAUUGAGUAAAACUUUUAAGGAAACAUGGGAAAAUACAAUCAAGCAGAAGAAAAUGAAUAAAACUUUUCAAGACCGAAAAACGGAACUAGUAGCAAUAAAGAAAACACAGUCUCAGGCAAUGAAAACCUAGAGAAGAGAACACAGCCACACAUGUUCUUUGUCAGACCAAUGAGAGCCAACCCUGGGCCCAUCAACUGACAUGUGGGAGAUGCGUGGUAGCCUGAAGGAGGCUGAGUGGCAAUUGGGAGGCCUAAGUCGAUGCCUCACACUGCACUACUGUAUUCAACAUUGAUUUUGGUUUAUUUGUUUGUUUGUUUGUUUGUUUGUUGAGACAGGGUUUUUCAGAUUUGUCCUGGAUUUGCUUUGUAGACCAGGCUGGCCUCAGACUCACAGAGAUCGCCUGCCUUUGCCUUCCAUAGUUCUGGGAGGUGGAGGCCUCCACCACCACGACUGGUUUCUACAUUGGUCUUUUAAGAAAAUAAUUGACACAAACAAUGGAAAUGUUUCAAGCUGUGUUGGGCCUUGCUAAUAUUUUUUUUUCUUAGUAUCUCUUUAGUCACUGGCUUUCGAGAUCAACUGACAUUUGCUUGAAAAUAUGUGGUAGGCAUUCAGUGAUUCUGCCCCUCUUUGAAAAAAAAAUGUUUCAUUUUAUGGAUAAUGUAAUGCUAGUCUCGAGUGUUUUGCAGAUUUAGCAAAGCCUUUGAAAGCCACACAAGGACAGCUAAAGGAGUGAGGGUGGGAAAUCAAUUCACACAGGGUAAAAGAGCCAGACACAGCUAUGAAACUCUUAGGACCUUUCAGGGAAGUAAACAAGGUGACUAAGAAAACUCCUAACAUUUUGUGCCUGUGGAUGUUAAAAUAACGGUUAAAUAGCCCGAGUUAGAGUCACUGUAGAGGAAGGAGCCUCAGUUGAGGAAAGGCUUCCAUGAGAUCCAGCUGUAGAGCGUUUUUUCAAUUAGUGAUCAAUGGGGGAGGUCCAGCCUAUGGUGGGUGGUGGUGUGGUCCCUGGGCUGGUGGUCCUGGGUUCUAUAAGAAAGCAGACUGAAAAAGCCAUGGCAAACAAGCCAGUAAAUAUUUCUCUCCAUGGCCUCUGCAUCAGCUCCUGCCUCCAAGUUCCAGCCCUGCUUAAGUUACUGUCCUGACUUCCUCUAAUAAUGGAGUAUGGUCUAGAAGUGUGAGCCAAAGAAACUCUUUCCUCCCAAACUUGCUAUUUGGUCAUGGUGUUUCGUUGUAGUAAUAGAAACCCUUACUAAGAUAAGAUGCUACCAAGAGUGGGGUGUUGCUGUGAUAGGCCUGGCCAUGUUUUGGAGGAAGAUUGUGGAAGGACUUUGGAACUUUGGGCUAGAAGAGCUAUUGGGUAUUAAUAGUUCAGGGGGAUGUUCUAUAGGAGGCUGGAAGAUAAGCAGUACAGAGGAUGGAGGCCUGGCUUGUGACAAUACAGAGAGCCGUUUGCUAUUGUGAUUUAAGAUUCUGUGGUUCCGGUUAGUUGGAGCCAAAGAAUCAGCUGUGAUUAACAAGAUACCAGAACUACUUAAAGCAAAACCUUUGCUUUACUGUGACAGUUGAUACUGGUUUGCUGCAGGUAAGAAAUUAGCAGUGUUACGAGGAAACCAGCAUCUCCUGGGAAGCGUUUUCUGAGAGCACAGAGAAGCUGUGUUCCAGAGGCAGCCAAGGUUGCACCUUGUGCUGGCAGCUGGACUUGGUGAUGUGUAAGAGUCACCCAGGUGGUGCUGGUCUUGAAGGCACUACGGGGUCAUAGAGGACAGCUGACACCUGGCACAGUGAGAGGCCAGGAAAGGCCAUUGGUGAAGAUGCAGCCUCAGUGCAGUUGAAGGCCCAGGACGGAAGGGGCCAUGCAAAGAAGUUGAGGCUUGGCACAAGGAAGAGAGCCCCUGAUAGGCUAUUGGUGAAAGUGCAUCACAGGUGCAGCAAGAGACCCUAGGAGUUUUAGAGAUGCCAGUAUCAUGAAACAUAUGGUCCCCAAGAACAGCAGCAGCAAUGAAGUGGAGCUGCCAGAGGCUAGAAGAUAUGUGUGUGCUGCAGAGGGCAAAGCUGGAGAAGUGAGCCAAGCCGUUCGGAGGAGCCCAGAAGAUCAUGUGUGAAUCCCAGACAGCAGUCAUUGUUAUUUUAUACUGGUGGAGUUUAGAUUUGCUCGGUUCAUAUUUUGACUCUGCCCUGGUUCUUCCCUCUUGAAGAAGGUAUUGAAUUUAAUUUUGAUUUUUACAGGUGCCCACAGCUGAAAGACCUUGAACGUUUAAGAGAUUUUAGAUUUGUAGACAAAUUGGAUAUUUUAAAGAGACUGAAAUUUUAAUGGGUUUGAAUUUGUAAUGACUUUUUUUUUUUUCAAUGGAGUUUAUUCAGGAACAUUGAACAAUCCUCGGACCCCGGGGAAAGCCAGCCCACAGCUUAAAUAGCCUCUGGGUAGCCAACCCAGGCGUGCCACGGGGGCAAUGCAGAUAGGUCCACAUACAUGGAAGCAAGCCAGAUCCUCAGCCUUAGCCAAAUGUGGAGUUGUUCGUGACAGAGAGCACUCACCAUCGGGAAGGUGGAAGGCGGAAACCAGCUCCAUCUUUAAGGCAUAGCAUUCCACAGCUCUCUAUAGUUAUGUUUUGAAUGUGAGAUUUUUGGAGAUGAAUGAGAAAGGAAAGGUUGUAGCUUAAGAGUGAUGUGUUUGUGUCAAGUUGACAAGGGAUCGGUUGUAUACUACCCGUUUUUGUGUAUCAACUUGUCACAAGUUAGAGUCACCAGAGAGGAAGGAGCCUCGGUUGAGAAAAUACCUCCAUGAGAUCCAGCUGUAAGGCAUUUUCUCAUUUAGUGAUCAGUGUGGGAGGGCCCAGCCCAUUGUAGGUGGUGCCAUCCUUGGGCUGGUGGUCCUGGGUUCUAUAAAAAAGCAGGCUGAGAAAGCCAUGAGUAGCAAGCCAAUAAGCAGCACCCCUCCAUGGCCUCUGCAUGAGCUACUGCCUCCAGGUUCCAGCCCUGUUCGAGUUCCUGCCCUGACUUCCUCUAAUGAUGGAUUAUGAUCUAGAAGUGUAUGCUGAAGAAACCCAUUCCUCCCCAAUUUGCUUUUGGUCAUGUUGUUUCAUUGUAGUAAUAGAUAGGACAUGGAAAAAUAAAUCUGGGACUGAGUUGGAAGCUUUUUUUCCUGUUGGCCAGUGAUGAAAGUCACUGUGCUGUGAAAGAAUUGUGAUAAAAAGUCUUAGUCAUCUGUUAACCCUUUGGGCUACAAUACUAAUAUGCCGGCAAUAUUUCCCACUGGUGUAAUAGUGCCAGUACUCUUGGGGUAUAAACAACUGGUUUCUGCCUGGACUAAGGCCUGUUCCACUGGACAGAGUUUAUAUUGGUACUUUAAACUCAGUCAAAAGCCAGUGGGUAGGGGUUCUUAUUGUGGUGAAGUUACUGCUGUUGAGUGUGAAAUGUGACAUAACCUGCUAAAUUGUCUCCUAAUUAUAUGUUUAUGCCCAUAGAAAACUGCUUCAUCUUUGAUUAGAGAAACUUCUUUUUAAAGUGGGCAGUAGUCACUGAAGGACUUAUAAUGGCUCAAAGUAGUGAGAAUAAAUAACUAUUGAAUGUUCAUCCACAAAUGGAACAUCCGUAUCACCUCCUCCAAGGUUCAGGGAACAUCCCAGAAGAGAGGUUGACAUGAGUGUAUGAGUCAGAAGAAAAAAUAGAUCUUAGUAAUGGUUACUAUUGCUGUGAUAAAAACACCAGGAACAAAAGCCAGCUGGGGAGGAAAGGAUCUGUUUGGCUUCUGCUUCCAAAAUGCUGUUUAUCCAUUGUGGGAAGCCAAAGUUCAUUCUCAAGCUGUGUGUGUGGAGAGCUGCUUGCUUGGCAGGCUGCUUUGAGUGUUCAGCAAGGUGCAAGUUUUUGCCCUAGCCUUUACCUUGAAACAGAAAUAAGCAGAGGUUUUGCCAAGUUUCUUUAACAUGUCUGUGAGACCUCAGACCAUGUCUGCCAUGCAGGAAUGUGAUCUUUGAAAGCAAGUUUAACUGUUCCAUGAACCCCAUCCUUGUGCUGAUGUGAACUGUUUUGUCUUUAAAAAGGAGCUGUAGAAUAAACUUGGUGCUUUCAGUAUUGACUGAUAGGCCCCCAGAAGUA